GGAUGUGAGGGCCAUCUGGCUGCAGCAGCUGCCACCCCACCAUCAGCCGGGUUGGUUCCACUGAUCUGGCUGUAGGCAGGGGUCCCCUUCUUCCCUCAGCGCUCAGCGUGAGCCCCUUGUGAAGCUCUGUGCUGUUCCAAGCCAGUGACCUUCCCCGCUCUCCAGUCCAGUGCAAGUGAGUCACCGUACUCCCCCGUUAGAGCCUUCAGACGCCCUCUCAAGGUCUAUCCGCGGGAGGACAUGGGGUGGUCAAGCUUCCAUAACUCAAGACGUGCCCAGAUGAGGCACUGCUGGCGCAGUCUGCCUCCC
rnacentral:snRNA from 1 species